rnacentral:rRNA from 1 species
AUGCUUCUCCUAAAGACUAAGCCAUGCAUGCCUCCGACUAGAAGAGCCAUUCUCUCCGAAUCUGCGAACGGCUCCGCGAACCAGUUGUAAACUAUAGCAAGCAAGCCUGGGUCCGCCUUCGGGUGGGCUUGGGCGAUAAGGAUAACCCUGGUAAUUCUGAGGCUAAUACAAGAACUUGACCCCCGGUCGACCGGCUUGUCUGGAAGGCUGGGGGGACGUGCGAUUGUGGCUUGGUUUUUCCAGGAAAGGGCG